rnacentral:rRNA from 1 species
AUUGAACGCUGGCGGCAUGCCUUGCACAUGCAAGUCGAACGGCAGCACGGGGGCAACCCUGGUGGCGAGUGGCGAACGGGUGAGUAAUGCAUCGGAACGUGCCCAGUAGUGGGGGAUAACCCGGCGAAAGCCGGGCUAAUACCGCAUACGACCUACGGGUGAAAGCGGGGGACCGUAAGGCCUCGCGCUAUUGGAGCGGCCGAUGUCUGAUUAGCUAGUUGGCGGGGUAAAGGCCCACCAAGGCGACGAUCGGUAGCUGGUCUGAGAGGACGACCAGCCACACUGGGACUGAGACACGGCCCAGACUCCUACGGGAGGCAGCAGUGGGGAAUUUUGGACAAUGGGCGCAAGCCUGAUCCAGCCAUGCCGCGUGCGGGAAGAAGGCCUUCGGGUUGUAAACCGCUUUUGGCAGGAACGAAACGGCGCAAGCUAAUACCUUGCGCUAAUGACGGUACCUGCAGAAUAAGCACCGGCUAACUACGUGCCAGCCGCCGCAGUAAUAC